CCUACGGGUGGCUGCAGUGGGGAAUAUUGGACAAUGGGCGAAAGCCUGAUCCAGCCAUGCCGCGUGUGUGAAGAAGGCCUUCGGGUUGUAAAGCACUUUCAGUGGGGAAGAAAGCCUUGGGGCUAAUACCCUCGAGGAAGGACAUCACCCACAGAAGAAGCACCGGCUAACUCCGUGCCAACAGCCGCGGUAAUACGGAGGGUGCGAGCGUUAAUCGGAAUUACUGGGCGUAAAGCGCGCGUAGGCGGUCUGAUAAGCCGGUUGUGAAAGCCCCGGGCUCAACCUGGGAACGGCAUCCGGAACUGUCAGGCUAGAGUGCAGGAGAGGAAGGUAGAAUUCCCGGUGUAGCGGUGAAAUGCGUAGAGAUCGGGAGGAAUACCAGUGGCGAAGGCGGCCUUCUGGACUGACACUGACGCUGAGGUGCGAAAGCGUGGGUAGCAAACAGGAUUAGAUACCCUUGUAGUC
rnacentral:rRNA from 1 species